UGCCGGCGCACCUGCUGCCGGCGCACCUGCUGCUGGCGCACCUGCUGCCGCCGCACCUGCUGCUGCCCCUGCAGCGGCGCCGGCGGCGCCCGCGGCUGCCCCUGCUCAAGCUUAAGCGUAAGACAUUAGAGUGUAAAAACAAACGUCACAACACCAAGGGAAUAAAAGUGCGCCACCGAAAAAUUCGCAUCACCAUCUUACAUCCGCGAUUUUACGAAUAAUUUUUUAAAUUGUACUAAUAAUUUAUCACUCUUAAUAUAAUUGUUAAUUUUUGUUAUAAAA